UACGUAGGGUGCGAGCGUUGCCCGGAAUUAUUGGGCGUAAAGAGCUUGUAGGCGGUUUGUCGCGUCUGCUGUGAAAAUCCGGGGCUCAACCCCGGACUUGCAGUGGGUACGGGCAGACUGGAGUGUGGUGGGGAGGACUGGAAUUCCUGGUGUAGCGGUGGAAUGCGCAGAUAUCAGGAGGAACACCGAUGGCGAAGGCAGGUCUCUGGGCCACUACUGACGCUCAUGCACGAAAGCGUGGGGAGCAAACAGG
rnacentral:rRNA from 1 species